rnacentral:rRNA from 1 species
AAUACCGCAUAACAAUUUGAAUCGCAUGAUUCAAAUUUAAAAGAUGGCUUCGGCUAUCACUUUGGGAUGGACCUGCGGCGCAUUAGCUUGUUGGUAGGGUAACGGCCUACCAAGGCUGUGAUGCGUAGCCGAGUUGAGAGACUGAUCGGCCACAAUGGAACUGAGACACGGUCCAUACUCCUACGGGAGGCAGCAGUAGGGAAUCUUCCACAAUGGGCGCAAGCCUGAUGGAGCAACACCGCGUGAGUGAAGAAGGGUUUCGGCUCGUAAAGCUCUGUUGUUAGAGAAGAACGUGCGUGAGAGUAACUGUUCACGCAGUGACGGUAUCUAACCAGAAAGUCACGGCUAACUACGUGCCAGCAGCCGCGGUAAUACGUAGGUGGCAAGCGUUAUCCGGAUUUAUUGGGCGUAAAGCGAGCGCAGGCGGUUUGAUAAGUCUGAUGUGAAAGCCUUUGGCUUAACCAAAGAAGUGCAUCGGAAACUGUCAGACUUGAGUGCAGAAGAGGACAGUGGAACUCCAUGUGUAGCGGUGGAAUGCGUAGAUAUAUGGAAGAACACCAGUGGCGAAGGCGGCUGUCUGGUCUGCAACUGACGCUGAGGCUCGAAAGCAUGGGUAGCGAACAGGAUUAGAUACCCUGGUAGUCCAUGCCGUAAACGAUGAGUGCUAGGUGUUGGAGGGUUUCCGCCCUUCAGUGCCGCAGCUAACGCAUUAAGCACUCCGCCUGGGGAGUACGACCGCAAGGUUGAAACUCGAAGGAAUUGACGGGGGCCCGCACAAGCGGUGGAGCAUGUGGUUUAAUUCGAAGCUACGCGAAGAACCUUACCAGGUCUUGACAUCUUGCGCCAACCCUAGAGAUAGGGCGUUUCCUUCGGGAACGCAAUGACAGGUGGUGCAUGGUCGUCGUCAGCUCGUGUCGUGAGAUGUUGGGUUAAGUCCCGCAACGAGCGCAACCCUUGUUACUAGUUGCCAGCAUUCAGUUGGGCACUCUAGUGAGACUGCCGGUGACAAACCGGAGGAAGGUGGGGACGACGUCAGAUCAUCAUGCCCCUUAUGACCUGGGCUACACACGUGCUACAAUGGACGGUACAACGAGUCGCGAACUCGCGAGGGCAAGCUAAUCUCUUAAAAUAGUUGUCAGUUCGG